AUGUAGCCAAGUGGAUCAAGGCAGU
rnacentral:tRNA from 18 species